CACUUUUCAUCCCAAACAGCAGACAGCAACAAGCAAGACAAUCCUAACAUUGCAUUAUGCAGCUCAUUCAACACCCAAAAAUCCUUCAGCUCCCGUUGAUGAAAAACCAUUUUAUAAGAGAUCGCUUCACUGCGUUCAAACUUGGACGACACGUGCAUGAUAAGUGAAGUGUGGAAACAAAUGGCAUGUUGAAAGUGGUAAUUGUUUCAGAGCAUCAUUUAGCUCCCCAAUUGGUUGCAGGACAUGUCUUCUACAAAUGGGUCUAAAGCCCCCAUCGAGCUCCCGAGAAAAUCUGCAUGAAUCUUCUUCGCAAUUGCUUUCCCCUCCUAAACAGUUAUGCAGAGGGAGGAAUUAAGGCAAAACACAUGGAUUCCCAACCCAACUUAACCAACCCUACAACUGGACAUCCGGGUCUGAACAACUCGAGUACGGCAGACUUUUUAAACUAAGUUUAUCCAUGUAUUAUAUUUGUUUAUAUUUUAUAACUUUGUCAUUAUUAUUUAACGUUAGACCCCCUUUGUGCCAUCAAAAUUUUAAAUGUAUCUUAGAAAUAAGUUAUUUUAUUAUUAAAUUGCAAAUUGCAAAAUUAAAACGUAA